GAAUAUAAGAUGACAAUGCAAGCAUUUUGUUAUCUGUUUACUGUGGAUUAUUGCAACUAUCAUCUUGUUGAAGGUCAAGUAUCCAUGAGAGUCAUCACUCACUGGACGAGCCUUUCUAUUUGUACCAGUUGAGUACGUCUGCCCAAGACCCAGACAAAAAGCUUUGUACCUUACCACGGAAACUCCGCUAUCAAUGUCGUCUGGCCCAGUUGCCCCAACUGGAC
rnacentral:misc_RNA from 1 species